rnacentral:rRNA from 1 species
GACGAACGCUGGCGGCGUGCUUAACACAUGCAAGUCGAACGGUAAGGCCCCUUCGGGGGUACACGAGUGGCGAACGGGUGAGUAACACGUGGGUGAUCUGCCCUGCACUUCGGGAUAAGCCUGGGAAACUGGGUCUAAUACCGGAUAGGACCACGCUCUGCAUGGAGUGUGGUGGAAAGCUUUUGCGGUGUGGGAUGGGCCCGCGGCCUAUCAGCUUGUUGGUGGGGUGAUGGCCUACCAAGGCGACGACGGGUAGCCGGCCUGAGAGGGUGUCCGGCCACACUGGGACUGAGAUACGGCCCAGACUCCUACGGGAGGCAGCAGUGGGGAAUAUUGCACAAUGGGCGCAAGCCUGAUGCAGCGACGCCGCGUGGGGGAUGACGGCCUUCGGGUAGUAAACCUCUUUCAGUACCGACGAAGCGCAAGUGACGGUAGGUACAGAAGAAGCACCGGCCAACUACGU